AUACCACUUGGAAACAGGUGCUAAUACCGGAUAAGAAAGCAGAUCGCAUGAUCAGCUUUUAAAAGGCGGCGUAAAGCUGUCGCUAUGGGGGAUGGGCCCCGCGGUGCAUUAGCUAGUUGGUAAGGUAAAAGGCUUACCAAGGGCGAUGAUGCAUAGCCGAGUUGAGAGACUGAUCGGCCACAUUGGGGACUGAGACACGGCCCAAACUCCUACGGGAGGCAGCAGUAGGGAAUCUUCCACAAUGGACGCAAGUCUGAUGGAGCAACGCCGCGUGAGUGAAGAAGGUUUUCGGAUCGUAAAGCUCUGUUGUUGGUGAAGAAGGAUAGAGGUAGUAACUGGCCUUUAUUUGACGGUAAUCAGCCAGAAAGUCACGGGCUAACUACGUGCCAGCAGCCGCGGUAAAU
rnacentral:rRNA from 1 species